GAGGAAAAGAAACCAACAGGGAUUGCCUCAGUAACGGCGAGUGAAGCGGCAACAGCUCAAAUUUGAAAUCUGGCCGCAAGGUCCGAGUUGUAAUUUGCAGAGGAUGCUUUUGGCGAGGUGCCUUCCGAGUUCCCUGGAACGGGACGCCAUAGAGGGUGAGAGCCCCGUACGGUAGGACCACCGAGCCUCUGUAAAGCUCCUUCGACGAGUCGAGUAGUUUGGGAAUGCUGCUCUAAAUGGGAGGUGUACGUCUUCUAAAGCUAAAUACCGGCCAGAGACCGAUAGCGCACAAGUAGAGUGAUCGAAAGAUGAAAAGCACUUUGAAAAGAGGGUUAAAAAGUACGUGAAAUUGUUGAAAGGGAAGCAUUCAUGACCAGACUUGGGCUUGGUUGAACAUCCGGCGUUCUCGCCGGUGCACUCUGCCAGUCCAGGCCAGCAUCAGUUUGCCCCGGGGGAUAAAGGCGGUGGGAAUGUGGCACCCUCCGGGGUGUGUUAUAGCCCGCCGUGUAAUGCCCUGGGGUGGACUGAGGAACGCGCUUCGGCACGGAUGCUGGCGUAAUGGUCAUCAAUGACCCGU
rnacentral:rRNA from 1 species